rnacentral:rRNA from 1 species
UAAAGAAAGCGUAAUAGCUCACUGGUCGAGUCGGCCUGCGCGGAAGAUGUAACGGGGCUAAACCAUGCACCGAAGCUGCGGCAGCGACGCUGUGCGUUGUUGGGUAGGGGAGCGUUCUGUAAGCCUGUGAAGGUGGCCUGUGAGGGUUGCUGGAGGUAUCAGAAGUGCGAAUGCUGACAUAAGUAACGAUAAAGCGGGUGAAAAGCCCGCUCGCCGGAAGACCAAGGGUUCCUGUCCAACGUUAAUCGGGGCAGGGUGAGUCGACCCCUAAGGCGAGGCCGAAAGGCGUAGUCGAUGGGAAACGGGUUAAUAUUCCCGUACUUGGUGUUACUGCGAAGGGGGGACGGAGAAGGCUAUGUUGGCCGGGCGACGGUUGUCCCGGUUUAAGCGUGUAGGCUGGUUUUCCAGGCAAAUCCGGAAAAUCAAGGCUGAGGCGUGACGACGAGGCACUACGGUGCUGAAGCAACAAAUGCCCUGCUUCCAGGAAAAGCCUCUAAGCAUCAGGUAACACGAAAUCGUACCCCAAACCGACACAGGUGGUCAGGUAGAGAAUACCAAGGCGCUUGA